AUGCGCGGCAUCCUCGUCGACUGGCUCGUCGAGGUCGCUGAGGAGUACAAGCUCGUCUCCGACACGCUCUACCUCACUGUCUCCUACAUCGACCGCUUCCUCUCGUCCAACUCCCUCAACCGUCAGAAGCUGCAGCUCCUCGGCGUCUCUGCCAUGCUCAUUGCCUUUAAGUACGAGGAGAUCAACCCCCCAAAUGUGGAGGACUUCUGCUACAUCACCGACAACACCUACAUGAAGCAGGAGGUGUGUGUUCUUCUCUUGCUUGCUUGGUUCAUUUCUAUUAAGAUGGAGAGGAAUGUACUAAACAAUCUCAAGUUUGAGAUGGGCAAUCCUACCGCUAAGACCUUCCUAAGGAUGUUCAUCAAAUCUGGCCAAGAAGAGAAGAAAGGCUUCCGCAUCUCUGUCUACCACAUCUGUGAAAGUGUGAAUCAUGUCUCUAUGCAAUACCUGAUAUGA
rnacentral:rRNA from 1 species